GAACCAAGGUGGAUUCAGUGGGGGUGGAGAGCGUGCUUGAGAACUAUCUAGGAGAGAUGCCUGAGCAGAAACAGAGAUUAUACCCCAACGGUGAGAAGAGGAAAAUACCACAUCAUCGACUCUUGGUGAUCCCACGGUCAUGAAAAACUAACCCUAGGAUGCAGAAAAGGGGACAGGUCAGAUAUAAGUGACAUUAUUUAUUCACCAGUAUGACAAACC